AUUGAACGCUGGCGGCAUGCCUUACACAUGCAAGUCGAACGGCAGCACGGGCUUCGGUCUGGUGGCGAGUGGCGAACGGGUGAGUAAAGUAUCGGAACGUACCUUUCAGUGGGGGAUAACGUAGCGAAAGUUACGCUAAUACCGCAUAUUCUGUGAGCAGGAAAGCAGGGGAUCGCAAGACCUUGCGCUGAUUGAGCGGCCGAUAUCAGAUUAGCUAGUUGGUGGGGUAAAGGCCUACCAAGGCGACGAUCUGUAGCGGGUCUGAGAGGAUGAUCCGCCACACUGGAACUGAGACACGGUCCAGACUCCUACGGGAGGCAGCAGUGGGGAAUUUUGGACAAUGGGGGCAACCCUGAUUCAGCCAUGCCGCGUGAGUGAAGAAGGCCUUCGGGUUGUAAAGCUCUUUCGGCCGGGAAGAAAUCGCAUGGGCUAAUACCCUGUGUGGAUGACGGUACCGGAAUAAGAAGCACCGGCUAACUACGUGCCAGCCGCCGCGGUAAUAC
rnacentral:rRNA from 1 species